AAGCACGCCUUCUCUUCUUCCUUUACCCCCACAGCUUGCGUGGUCUGUGGUCUCAUCUCACUCACACUCACUCUCUCUCUCGGCGACGUCUACGCCGAGUGCCCAGGCAUUCUUCAGGCGCAGGUCGCUGCCGCCCUACGCCAGGUGCCCCGGUCUUCUUUCGUCCCUUCGCCGGCGACGACCACCGCCAGGACAGUAUAGCGGAUGGCUUCGUCGGUGCGGGCGCCAUCGGGGUCGGUGAUCGCCGUGGCAUCGUCCUCUUCCUCAGCAGCCUUGGCCGGGGUGUGCGGCACGGGCUCGCCGUGCGCCGCGUGCAAGUUCCUGCGUCGCAAGUGCCAGCCGGACUGCGUGUUCGCGCCCUACUUCCCACCGGACAACCCGCAGAAGUUCGUGCGCGUGCACCGCGUCUUCGGCGCGAGCAACGUGACCAAGCUGAUGAACGAAAUCCACCCGUUGCAGCGCGAGGACGCCAUGAACUCGCUCGCCUACGAGGCCGACAUGCGAAUUCGCGACCCCGUCUACGGCUGCGUGGGCGUCAUCUCCAUCCUCCAGCACAACCUACGGCAGCUCCAGCAGGACCUCGCCCGCGCCAAGUACGAGCUCUCCAAGUACCAGGCGGCAGCGGCGGCAGCAUCCGCGUCGACGGCGCCGACCGGGCCGCAGGCGAUGGCAGAGUUCAUCGGCAGCGCGAUGCCGAACGGCGCCGCGCACAACUUCAUCAACCUUGGACACUCGGCGGCGCUCGGCUCCCUCGGAGGCUCCACCGCCAUGUUCGGGCAGCAGGAGCAGUUCGGCAGCAACGCGCAGAUGCUGUCCAGGAGCUACGACGGCGGCGAGCCCAUCGCGAGGAUAGGGAUGAACAACGGCGGCUACGAGUUCGGUUACUCGAGCGCGACGACGAUGGGCGGGUCUGCAGGCGCUGUCUCUGGCGGCCUCGGGACGCUCGGCAUCAGCAGCCCGCCGUUCUUGAAGUCUGGAACCGCCGGCGGCGACGAGAAGCCCAGCGGCGGUCAGUAGGCGGUUCCAUCCGUGUGACCGAUCCUUCUAUCCAUCCAUCCAUCCAUCAGUCUUGUCAGGUUACUGACGCGAUGAAGAAACGGGGAGGAAAAAAAUAUCCAUGAAACGCGUGCAAGGACUUAUCCUAGACGUCCGCCGUUGUCAGGAGGGGGCUAAUUUCCAGACGAUUUUACAUGGAAAAAGUGCGUCGCUUGCGUGCGUGCGUGCUUGCUUUUGUUGCUAGAUUCAUUGCUUGUUUGUUAAUUACCACGCUAUCUACCCUCCCCAUCCACAUCAUCCACGAGAUCGUCAGAUAUUCCAUGCCAGCGUCCACAGAGUGGCCUAUGUUCUUGUUAUUAGUUGCUGUACUGCGAAGGGAGGGGGACAAAAUGCAUGCUUGUCCGGCCCGGACCUUUUUUUUUACCCCACUCGGAAGACUAGCGCCCAUUUGUACUCCAUGUAUUAUUGCUAGGUUGGCUGUAAUAUAUGAAGUUGACCUUUUGAGAAGAGGUGCAGUUGCUUAUGAA